rnacentral:rRNA from 1 species
GACAGAGGGUGCAAACGUUGUUCGGAAUCACUGGGCAUAAAGCGCACGUAGGCGGCCCACUAAGUCGGAUGUGAAAUCCCCAGGCUUAACCUGGGAACUGCAUCCGAUACUGGAUGGCUUGAAUUCGGGAGAGGGAUGCAGAAUUCCAGGUGUAGCGGUGAAAUGCGUAGAUAUCUGGAGGAAUACCGGUGGCGAAGGCGGCAUCCUGGACCGACAUUGACGCUGAACGGCGAAAGCUAGGGGAGCAAACGGG